rnacentral:rRNA from 1 species
CUUGAUCGAUCUUGCUAGUAGCAUACGCUUGUCUUAAAGAUUAAGCCUUGCAUGUGUAAGUAUGAACUAAUUCGGAUUAUGAAACCACAAAUGGCUCAUUAAAUCAGUUAUAGUUUGUUUGAUGGUAUCUACUACUUGGAUAACCAUAGUAAUUCUAGAGCUAAUACAUGCAAUAAACCCUAACUUUUGGAAGGGAUACAUUUAUUACAUAAAAGGUAGAAAUGGGCUUUACCCAUUGCUUAAAUGAUUCAUGAUAACUCAACAAAUCGUAUGGCUUUUAUGCCUAUAAUACAUCAUUCAAAAUUUUUCCCUAUCAACUUUUGAUGACAGGAUAGUGGUCUACUAUAGUGGUGAUGGGUGAUGGAGAAUUAGGGUUUAAUUCCAGAGAAAGAGCCUAAAAAAUGUCUACCACAUCCAAAGAAGCAAUAGGUAUGCAAAUUACCCAUUCUUAACAUAGGGAGGUAGUGAUAAUAAAUAAUAGUACUGGGCUCUAUGAGUCUGGUAAUUGGAAUAAGUACAAUCUAAAUCCCUUAAAGAGGAUCCAUUGGAGCUCAAGUUAGUUGCCAAAAACCAUAGUAAUUCUAGCUCCAAUAGCAUAUGUUUAAGUUGUUGUAGUUGAAAAGCUUAUAGUUGGAACUAGGAUUAGGUCAUCCGGUCUACCUUAUGAUGAGCAUUGGUCUACUUAUCCCAACUACUGGCUAUGCACCCUUAGCUUUAACUGGCUGGGUCAUUCCUUUGGGACUAUUACUUUGAAGAAAUUAGAGUGCUCAAAGCAAGCCUACACUUGUAUAAAUUAGCAUGGGAUAACAUUAUAGGAUUUCAGUCCUAUUAUUUUGGCCUUCAGAAUUAGAGAAAUGAUUAAUAGGGAUAAUUGAGGGCAUUCAUAUUUCAUAGUCAAAGGUGAAAUUCAUGGAUUUAUGAAAGACAAACAACUAAGAAAGCAUUUGCCAAGGAUGUUUUCAUUAAUCAAGAACAAAAGUUGGAGGCUCGAAGACAAUCACAUACCAUCCUAGUCUCAACCAUAAAUGAUAUCGACCAGGGAUCGAUGGAUGUUAGUUUGAGGACUCUAAUGACACCUUAUGAGAAAUCAAUGUCUUUGGGUUUUGAGGAUAGUAUGGCCAUAAGGCUAAAACUUAAAGGAAUUGAUGAAAGGCCACCACCAGAAGUAGAGCCUAUGACUUAAUUUGACUCAGCUUGGGGAAACUUACCAGGUCCAGACAUAGAAAGGAUUGACAGAAUAAUAGCUCUUUCUUGAUUCUAUGGGUGGUGGCGCAAGGCUGUUCUUAGUUGGUGGAGUGAUUUAUUUGGUUAAUUCCAUUGACAGACAAGACCUCAGCCUACUAGCUUCUUAGAGGGACUAUGGCCAUUUAGGCCAAGGAAGUUUGAGAUAAUAAUAGGUUUAUGAUGCCCUUACUGUUCUGGGCUACAUGCAUGCUACACUAAUGUAUUAAAUGAGUCUAUAAUCUUUGAAAUUUCAUCAUGAUGGGGAUAGAUCAUUGUAAUUGUUAGUCUUUAAUAAGGAAUUCCUAGUAAGUGUGAGUGAUCAGCUCACAUUGACUAUGUCCCUACCCUUUCUACACACAACCGAUCAUUCCUACCGAUUGAAUGGUCCGGAAAAAUGUUUAAAUAGCAGUAAUAUGGAUAGUUUGUUGCUCAUGAUGUCACAAGAAGUCCACUGAACCUUACCAUUUAGAGGAAGUAGAAGUCAUAACAAGGUUUCCAUAGGCAAACCUGUGGAAG